rnacentral:rRNA from 1 species
AGCAGCCGCGGUAAUUCCAGCUCCAAUAGCGUAUAUUAAAGUUGUUGCAGUUAAAAAGCUCGUAGUUGAAUUUCGGGAUCAGUUGGUCGGUCGUGCCUCGGUACGUACUGGUCAAAUUGAUUCCUACCUUCUGACGAACCACGAUGUCAUUAAUUUGGUGUCGCGGGAAAUCAGGACUGUUACUUUGAAAAAAUUAGAGUGUUUAAAGCAGGCUCGCGCUUGAAUACAUUAGCAUGGAAUAAUGAAAUAGGACGUUUGAUUCUAUUUUGUUGGUUUCUAGGAUCGACGUAAUGAUUAAUAGGGAUAGUUGGGGGCAUUAGUAUUCAAUUGUCAGAGGUGAAAUUCUUGGAUUUAUUGAAGACUAACUACUGCGAAAGCAUUUGCCAAGGAUGUUUUCAUUAAUCAAGAACGAAAGUUAGGGGAUCGAAGACGAUCAGAUACCGUCGUAGUCUUAAACCAUAAACUAUGCCGACUAGGGAUCGGAUGAUGUUAAUUUUUAAUGUACUCAUU